rnacentral:rRNA from 1 species
CAGCAGCCACGGGAAUACGUAGGUGGCAAGCGUUGUCCGGAUUUAUUGGGCGUAAAGCGAGCGCAGGCAGUCAAUUAAGUCUGAUGUGAAAGCCCCCGGCUCAACCGGGAGGGUCAUUGGAAACUGGUUGACUUGAGUGCAGAAGAGGAGAGUGGAAUUCCAUGUGUAGCGGUGAAAUGCGUAGAUAUAUGGAGGAACACCAGUGGCGAAGGCGACUCUCUGGUCUGUAACUGACGCUGAGGCUCGAAAGCGUGGGUAGCAAACAGGAUUAGAUACCCCUGUAGUCCCUGUCUCUUAUACC